UUGGGGAAUAAUCCUGUAAGAGUUUACAUCCAAAAGUUCUCUGCAUUCUCCCUAACUUAAUAGUUGCUGUUUCCAUGCCAUGGGUAUCAUCUGUAUUCCCCAUCAUUUGCUUUCUACCCCUGCUUUGUCUUCUUUGCAACAUCACUUCCUAAUGCAGAAGUGUGUUAUAUGUGAAGUAGGAGUUCAAUGUUUGCAUCUAGGAUCACUUAAAUAAGUUUUAGUUAUAUGAUUUUAUUAUUUCCAAUUACACUUUUAAGACAUUUUUGACUGUUUGAUGUCAAGUUUUAAGUUGUUCCAUAACCGUUCUUUUUCUCUUCUGUCUUUUAACAGCAUUUUUAUUUGGUUGGGUUUGGUUUUUGAAGACAGAGUUUCUCCAUAUAACAGCUUUGGCUGUCCUGGAACUCCCUUUGUAGCCUAGGCAGUCCAGGUCGCCUCAAAGUCACGACGAUCUGCCUACCUCUGUCUCCUGAGUGUGUCACCACUACCCAGCAUAACAUAAUUUUCUUAAACAUUACCAAAGUAGAAUAUAAACUCCCUGGAAUAGAUUCAGGGGUGUGUGCGUGUGUGUGUGUGUGUGUGUGUGUGUAUUGUUUAUUGUUUUAUCUUUAUAAACUGAGGUUUAUAUAUACAAGUUUUAAUAUUUAAUAUAUGCCAGAUGAAGAGUUGAAUCCCUUGACUCCCAUGGGGACAGGUGACAACAGCAGCAGUCUUUUUUUUUUUUAAAUUUUUUUAGAUAUUUUCUUCAUUUACAUUUCAAAUGCUAUCCCGAAAGUCCCCUAUACCCUCCCCCUGCCCUGCUCCCCUACCCACCCACUCCCACUUCUUGGCCCUGGCGUUUCCCUGUACUGGGCAUAUGAAGUUUGCAAGACCAAGGGGCCUCUCUUCCCAAUGAUGGCCGACUAGGCCAUCUUCUGCUACAUUUGCAGCUAGAGACACGAGCUCUGGGGGUACUGGUUAGUUCAUAUUGUUGUUCCACCUACAGGGUUGCAGACCCCUUCAGCUCCUUGGGUACUUUCUCUAGCUCCUCCAUUGGGGGCCCUGUGUUCCAUCCAAUAGAUGACUGUGAGCAUCCACUUCUGUAUUUGCCAGGCACUGGCAUAGCCUCAAAAGAGACAGCUAUAUCAGGGUCCUUUCAGCAAAAUCUUGCUGGCAUAUGCAAUAGUGUCUGUGUUUGGUGGCUGAUUAUGGGAUGGAUCCCUGGGUGGGGUAGUCUCUGGAUGGUCCAUACUUUUGUCUCAGCUCCAAACUUUGUCUCUGUAACUCCUUCCAUGGGUAUUUUGUUCCCCAUUCUAAGGAGGGACGAAGUAUCCACACUUUGGUCUUCCUUCUUCUUUAGUUUCAUGUGGUUUGCAAAUUAUAUCUUGGGUAAUCUAACUUUCUGGGCUAAUAUCCACUUAUCAGUGAGUGCAUAUCAUGUGAGUUCUUUUGUAAUUGAGUUACCUCACUCAGGAUGAGACCCUCCAGGUCCAUCCAUUUGCCUAAUAAUCUCAUAAAUUCAUUAUUUUUAAUAGCUGAGUAGUACUCCAUUGUGUAAAUGUACCACAUUUUCUGUAUCCAUUCCGAUAAAAACUGCAUGGUGCUGGUACAGCGACAGACAGGUAGAUCAAUGAAAUAGAAUUGAAGACCCAGAAAUGAAUCCACAUAGUUAUGGUCACUUGAUCUUUGACAAAGGAGCUAAAACCAUCCAGUGGGAAAAAAACAGAAUUUUUAACAAAUGGUGCUGGCUUAACUGGCGGUUAUCAUGUAGAAGAAUGUGAAUUGAUCCAUUCUUAUCUCCUUGUACAAAGCUCAAGUCUAAGUGAAUCAAGGAACUCCACAUAAAACUAGAGACUCUGAAACUUAUAGAGGAGAAAGUGGGGGAAAGCCUUGAAGAUAUGGGUACAGGGGAAAAAUUCCUGAACAGAACUGCAAUGGCUUGUGCUGUAAGAUCUAGAAUUGACAAAUGGGACCUCAUAAAAUUGCAAAGCUUCUGUAAGGGAAAAGACACAGUCAAUAAGACAAAAAGGCCACCAACAGAUUGGGAAAGGAUUUUUACCAAUCCUAAAUCCAAUAGGGGACUAAUAUCCAAUAUAUACAAAGAACUCAAGAAGCUGGACUCCAGAAAAGCAAAUAUCCCCAUUUAAAAAUGGGGCACAGAGCUAAACAAAGAAUUCUCAACUGAGGAAUACCGAAUGGCUGAGAAGCACCUGAAAAAAAUGUUCAACAUCCUUAAUCACCAGGAAAAUGCAAACCAAAACAACCCUGAGAUUCCACCUCACAACAGUCAGAAUGGCUAAGAUCAAAAAUUCAGGUGACAGCCGAUGCUGGCGAGGAUGUGGAGAAAGAGGAACACUCCUCCAUUGUUGGUGGGAUUGCAAGCUUGUACAAGCACUCUGGAAAUCAGUCUGGCGGUUCCUCAGAAAAUUGGACAUAGUAAUACCGGAGGAUCCAGCAAUAACUCUCCUGGGCAUAUAUCCAAAAGAUGUUCUAACUGGUAAUAAGAACACAUGCUCCACUAUGUUCAUAGCAUCCUUAUUUCUAAUAGCCAAAAGCUGGAAAGAACAGCAGUCAUUUUUAUAAGGUCUUUAAAAGUAGAAGUGAGGUUAAGAAGACUGUAGCCCACAUCUUUCCCUGGCUGUGGCUUGGGGCUAGAUUCAAAGUCAUUUAGUGCUAACUGUGACUAUUCGUUGGGAGAGGAACUGAUAAAACUAGAGCCAGGGUCAGCUGUGAAAACUUGAGGGAUCAGAGCUGUGGGCUGUUUUCAGUGGAGUUGAGGGUUCAAAUGAGCUGAAGAAGGACCAUUGAAACAAUAGAACUCUGCUUAGAAGUUACACACGCAGGACACUUACAGCAGUGGGUCUCAAGCUGGAGCAUGCAUCAGCACUGUCUCAAAGGAUUCAACAGGGCUUCUUACUAAUGGGUUCUAGAGUACACAGUGGUAGCAAGUUCACAGGCGCAUCUUGUCACUGCCUGUCUUAGAGAACUGAUGCCCCUGCUAUGGAAAACAUUUUGUGGAAGCGAUUAAGACUCAAGAAACUGUGACAGCCGCUGUCACACCAUGAUGUCAGGUAGCAACCACUGCCUACCUGCUCUAUCCAUGUCACUUAGUCUCCUUGAGCCUCUAUCAGAGUACUGGAACCAUGAGUUUCCGUCUUCAGCCCUUCUAGCACCUGUCACAGUGCAAUCCAAGGGUUAGUUACUGGCACACACUGAAUUUUAAUUUUAAGCAAUUAUAAUCAUUUGUUCACUUUUAAAACCAUGUACUUUAAAAUGCCUUGCCAUUCUCUUGUGCUUCAGUAGAGGGAGCUAUGACACAAAUUGUACUAAGCAGCAACAACAAAUUUUUUGACUUCCUAUUUUUGUCAGUCUCUAUUGCAGUAUAUUAGGUGAGUGCUUCGUUGCUGUUUUGUCAGAUUUGUUAGACUGGAUAAUUACUACCCUGGUUAAUGUCGUCGUCGUCGUGGUGUUCUGGGCAGUGAUGUUUUGGCCAGUGGUGGACCACAUAUUCCUCAGGGGUCCCACAUAUUCUGCCACCUGCUGACCAUCUUAGUUCAUAUUAGCACUCUGUAAUGCUCACAUGCUGAGGGAAGCUCUGACUGUGUACUCCUCCAAACCCAGCCCAUUGGUACGCGACACCGAGUGCAGAGGAUACAGUUCCACCUUCGUUUGCAGUCACUUAUAUCCAUACCCAAACUGCUCUGCUUGCUGUCGCAUUGCCUGCUUUAAAAACUGAUUC
rnacentral:lncRNA from 1 species